rnacentral:antisense_RNA from 1 species
CUUGAUCGAACCGACCCACACCGGCUUGUCCGCCUCGCGCUCCCGGCCGUACGUGGCGAGGAUCGCGUGUGCCUC